GACGAACGCUGGCGGCGUGCCUAACACAUGCAAGUCGAACGAGUGGCGGACGGGUGAGUAAUGUCUGGGAAACUGCCCGAUGGAGGGGGAUAACUACUGGAAACGGUAGCUAAUACCGCAUACCAUCGGAUGUGCCCAGAUGGGUUUAGCUAGUAGGUGGGGUAACGGCUCACCUAGGCGAAGAUCCCUAGCUGGUCUGAGAGGAGGACCAGCCACCCGGGAACUGAGACACGGUCCAGACUCCUAGGGGAGGCAGCAGUGGGGAAUAUUGCACAAUGGGCGCAAGCCUGAUGCAGCCAUGCCGCGUGUAUGAAGAAGGCCUUCGGGUUGUAAAGUACUUUCAGCGGGGAGGCGUUACCCGCAGAAGAAGCACCGGCUAACUCCGUGCCAGCAGCCGCGGUAAUUC
rnacentral:rRNA from 1 species